rnacentral:rRNA from 1 species
GUGGGGAAUCUUAGACAAUGGGGGAAACCCUGAUCUAGCCAUGCCGCGUGAGCGAUGAAGGCCUUAGGGUUGUAAAGCUCUUUCAGCUGGGAAGAUAAUGACGGUACCAGCAGAAGAAGCCCCGGCUAACUCCGUGCCAGCAGCCGCGGUAAUACGGAGGGGGCUAGCGUUGUUCGGAAUUACUGGGCGUAAAGCGCGCGUAGGCGGACCAGAAAGUUGGAGGUGAAAUCCCAGGGCUCAACCUUGGAACUGCCUUCAAAACUCCUGGUCUGGAGUUCGAGAGGGGUGAGUGGAAUUCCGAGUGUAGAGGUGAAAUUCGUAGAUAUUCGGAGGAACAGCAGUGGCGAAGGCGGCUCACUGGCUCGAUACUGACGCUGAGGUGCGAAAGCGUGGGGAGCAAACAGGAUUAGAAACCCCAGUAGUCC